rnacentral:rRNA from 1 species
CUAUCCUACGGGACGCAGCAGUGAGGAAUAUUGGUCAAUGGGCGAGAGCCUGAACCAGCCAAGUCGCGUGAGGGAGUACUGCCCUAUGGGUUGUAAACCUCUUUUGUCGGGGAGCAAAAGCCGGACGUGUCCGGCUGUGAGAGUACCCGAAGAAAAAGCAUCGGCUAACUCCGUGCCAGCAGCCGCGGUAAUACGGAGGAUGCGAGCGUUAUCCGGAUUUAUUGGGUUUAAAGGGUGCGUAGGCGGGUUAUCAAGUCAGCGGUAAAAUCGUGGAGCUCAACUCCAUCCAGCCGUUGAAACUGAUG